rnacentral:rRNA from 1 species
GACGAACGCUGGCGGCGUGCUUAACACAUGCAAGUCGAACGAUGAAGCUAGAGCUUGCUCUGGUGGAUUAGUGGCGAACGGGUGAGUAACACGUGAGUAACCUGCCCCGAGCUCUGGGAUAACUGCUGGAAACGGUAGCUAAUACCGGAUAUGACCAAUGAAGGCAUCUUCUGUUAGUGGAAAGAAUUUCGGUUCGGGAGGGACUCGCGGCCUAUCAGCUUGUUGGUGAGGUAACGGCUCACCAAGGCGACGACGGGUAGCCGGCCUGAGAGGGUGAUCGGCCACACUGGGACUGAGACACGGCCCAGACUCCUACGGGAGGCAGCAGUGGGGAAUAUUGCACAAUGGGCGCAAGCCUGAUGCAGCAACGCCGCGUGAGGGACGACGGCCUUCGGGUUGUAAACCUCUUUUAGUAGGGAAGAAGCGAAAGUGACGGUACCUGCAGAAAAAGCACCGGCUAACUACGUGCCAGCCGCCGCCGUAA